rnacentral:rRNA from 1 species
AGCGAACGCUGGCGGCAGGCCUAACACAUGCAAGUCGAACGGAUCCCUCGGGAUUAGUGGCGGACGGGUGAGUAACACGUGGGAACGUGCCCUUUGGUUCGGAACAACUCAGUGAAACUUGAGCUAAUACCGGAUGUGCCCUUCGGGGGAAAGAUUUAUCGCCAUUGGAGCGGCCCGCGUCUGAUUAGCUGGUUGGUGAGGUAACGGCCCACCAAGGCGACGAUCAGUAGCUGGUCUGAGAGGAUGAUCAGCCACACUGGGACUGAGACACGGCCCAGACUCCUACGGGAGGCAGCAGUGGGGAAUCUUGCGCAAUGGGCGAAAGCCUGACGCAGCCAUGCGGCGUGAAUGAUGAAGGGCUUAGGAUUGUAAAAUUCUUUCAGCGGGGACGAUAAUGACGGUACCCGCAGAAGAAGCUCCGGCUAACUUCGUG